rnacentral:rRNA from 1 species
UACGUAGGGUGCGAGCGUUGUCCGGAAUUAUUGGGCGUAAAGCGUCUGUAGGCGGAAGUGUAAGUUGGACGUGAAAGCUCCGGGCUCAACUCGGAGAGGCCGUUCAAUACUGCACAACUAGAGGCCAUCAGAGGGGCGUGGAAUUUCCGGUGUAGCGGUAAAAUGCGCAGAUAUCGGAAGGAACACCAGUGGCGAAGGCGGCGCCCUGGGGUGGGCCUGACGCUAAGAGACGAAAGCUAGGGGAGCGAACAGGAUUAGAUACCCUGGUAGUCCCUGA